CCGACUUCGUAUGGUUUCAGAGGAGUUGCAGCUCAAUGAAAUCGGUCUCUUCCUUUUAAUAAGUAGUAUGAUAGAUUAUGGUCGAUGAUAAGGCUUCAUACCAUUGCAUAUAUAUCACAAAACGCAUCUUGUCCAUAUGACAUUAACAAAGUCAUUAACCAUCAGGAUACGCAAUUUCUGAAGCCCUAAUAUUGAGAAAGAC
rnacentral:lncRNA from 1 species